UACGGGAGUGGCAAGCGUUAUCCGGAAUUAUUGGGCGUAAAGCGUCCGCAGGCGGCCUUGUAAGUCUGUCGUUAAAGCGUGGAGCUCAACUCCAUUUCAGCGAUGGAAACUACAAGGCUUGAGUGUGGUAGGGGCAGAGGGAAUUCCCGGUGUAGCGGUGAAAUGCGUAGAUAUCGGGAAGAACACCAGUGGCGAAGGCGCUCUGCUGGGCCAUAACUGACGCUCAUGGACGAAAGCCAGGGGAGCGAAAGGG
rnacentral:rRNA from 1 species